rnacentral:rRNA from 1 species
GAAUGCAUCUAGAUUCUUGGUCAUUUAGAGGAAGUAAAAGUCGUAACAAGGUUUCCGUAGGUGAACCUGCGGAAGGAUCAUUACCGAGUUAGGGUCGCCCCUCGGGGUGCCCGACCUCCCAACCCCGUGUCUACCACACCUCACGUUGCUUCGGCGGGCCGGACGCGACCAACUGGUCGUGGCCGCCGGUCCCUACGGGGACUGGAGAGCCGCCCGCCGAUGGCCCCCAACCCCAAAACUCUUCGUACCAAAACCUGUCGUCUGAAACAUUUGAAUAAAUCAAAACAAAACUUUCAACAACGGAUCUCUUGGUUCUGGCAUCGAUGAAGAACGCAGCGAAAUGCGAUAAGUAAUGCGAAUUGCAGAAUUUCCGUGAGUCAUCGAAUCUUUGAACGCACAUUGCGCCCAUUGGCAUUCCGAUGGGCAUGCCUGUUCGAGCGUCAUUAUCCUCCCUCAAACCCCUGGGUUUGGUGUUGGACCUCAAAGCCGUGCGCGCACAGCUUGGUCUCAAAGACAAUGACGGCGUCCGUGGGACCCUCUUCGCAACGAGCUUCUCGGAGCACGCGUCGAGUUUCAAGGACCCUCCGGGCCCGGUCUCCCUUCUAUUCUUCCAAGGUUGACCUCGGAUCAGGUAGGAAUAUCCGCUGAACUUAAGCAUAUCAAUAAGCG